rnacentral:tRNA from 1 species
ACCUGGCUGGCUCAGUUGCUAGAUCAUGGGACUCUUGAUCUCCAGGUUGUGAGUUCAAGCCCCAUGUUGGGUG